rnacentral:rRNA from 1 species
AUUGAACGCUGGCGGCAGGCUUAACACAUGCAAGUCGAGCGGAGACUUCGGUCUUAGCGGCGAACGGGUGAGUAAUACCUAGGAAUCUGCCUAUUAGUGGGGGAUAACGAAUCGAAAGGUUCGCUAAUACCGCAUACGUCCUACGGGAGAAAGGGGGGAGUCUUCGGACCUCUCGCUAAUAGAUGAGCCUAGGCCGGGAUUAGCUAGUUGGUAGGGUAAAGGACCUACCAAGGCGACGAUCUGUAGCUGGUCUGAGAGGAUGGCCAGCCACACUGGAACUGAGACACGGUCCAGACUCCUACGGGAGGCAGCAGUGGGGAAGUAUUGGACAAUGGGGGCGAACCCUCGAUCCAGCCAUGCCGCGUGUGUGAAGAAGGCCUCGGUUGUAAGACACUUAAGUACGAGGAGGAA